CAAUAGCGUAUAUUAACGUUGUUGCAGUUAAAAAGCUCGUAGUUGGAUUUCUGGAGGGAGCGUCGGCCCGUAUUUACGAGUGCGUGACGUCUCUGUCCAUCCUUGCGGGAAGGCACGGCAUUGAUUUGUUGUGUCGGAUCGCAUCAUUUACUGUGAAAAAAUUAGAGUGUUCAAAGCAGGCUUUCGCUUGAAUACAUUAGCAUGGAAUAAUAAGAUAGGACUUUGGUGCUAUUUUGUUGGUUGAGCCUAAAGUAAUGAAUAAUAGGGAUAGUUGGGGGCACCUGUAUUGCGUUGUCAGAGGUGAAAUUCUUGGAUUUACGCAAGACAAACAGCUGCGAAAGCGUCUGCCAAGGAUGUUUUCAUUAA
rnacentral:rRNA from 1 species